rnacentral:rRNA from 1 species
GACGAACGCUGGCGGCGCGCUUAACACAUGCAAGUCGAACGGAAAGGCCUGCUUUCCCUUGUGGAUUGCGGGUACUCGAGUGGCGAACGGGUGAGUAACACGUGAGUGAUCUGCCCCCAACUUGGGUAUAGGCCUGGGAAACUGGGUCUAAUUCCCGAUAGGACUGCAGGGUGGUGCCUGUGGUGGAAAACGAUUUUCUAGUGGUUGGGGAUGAGCUCGCGGCCUAUCAGCUUGUUGGUGGGGUAAUGGCCUACCAAGGCGGCGACGGGUAGCCGGCCUGAGAGGGUGGACGGCCACAUUGGGACUGAGAGACGGCCCAGACUCCUACGGGAGGCAGCAGUGGGGAAUAUUGCACAAUGGGAGGAAGCAUGAUGCAGCGACGCCGCGUGGGGGAUGACGGCCUUCGGGUUGUAAACUCCUUUCGACCGCGAGGAAGCCACCUGGUUGGAAGGGUGGUGACGGUAGUGGUAGAAGAAGCACCGGCUAACUACGUA